AACGAACGCUGGCGGCAUGCCUAACACAUGCAAGUCGAACGAGACCUUCGGGUCUAGUGGCGCACGGGUGCGUAACGCGUGGGAACCUGCCCUUAGGUUCGGAAUAACUCCCCGAAAGGGGUGCUAAUACCGGAUAAUGUCUUCGGACCAAAGAUUUAUCGCCUUUGGAUGGGCCCGCGUUGGAUUAGCUAGUUGGUAGGGUAAAAGCCUACCAAGGCGACGAUCCAUAGCUGGUCUGAGAGGAUGAUCAGCCACACUGGGACUGAGACACGGCCCAGACUCCUGCGAGAGGCAGCAGUGGGGAAUAUUGGACAAUGGGCGAAAGCCUGAUCCAGCAAUGCCGCGUGAGUGAUGAAGGCCUUAGGGUUGGAAAGCUCUUUUACCCGGGAUGAUAAUGACAGUACCGGGAGAAUAAGCUCCGGCUAACUCCGUG
rnacentral:rRNA from 1 species